UUGGAGGGCAAGUCUGGUGCCAGCAGCCGCGGUAAUUCCAGCUCCAAUAGCGUAUAUUAAAGUUGUUGCAGUUAAAAAGCUCGUAGUUGAAUUUCGGGAUCAAUUUGUUGGUCGUGCCUCGGUACGUACUGGCAUUAUUGAUUUCUACCUUCUGAAGAACCUUGAUGUCAUUAAUUUGGUGUCUUGGGGAAUCAGGACUGUUACUUUGAAAAAAUUAGAGUGUUUAAAGCAGGCAUACGCUUGAAUACAUUAGCAUGGAAUAAUGAAAUAGGACGUUUGAUUCUAUUUUGUUGGUUUCUAGGAUCGACGUAAUGAUUAAUAGGGAUAGUUGGGGGCAUUAGUAUUCAAUUGUCAGAGGUGAAAUUCUUGGAUUUAUUGAAGACUAACUACUGCGAAAGCAUUUGCCAAGGAUGUUUUCAUUAAUCAAGAACGAAAGUUAGGGGAUCGAAGACGAUCAGAUACCGUCGUAGUCUUAACCAUAAACUAUGCCGACUAGGGAUCGGAUGAUGUUAUUUUUAAUGACUCAUUCGGCGCCUUACGGGAAAC
rnacentral:rRNA from 1 species